rnacentral:rRNA from 1 species
UACGUGGGGUGCAAGCGUUAUCCGGAUUUACUGGGCGUAAAGCGUGCCGUCGGUGGUUAUAUAAGUCUUUCGUUUAAGCCUGGGGCCCAACUCCAGAUCAGCGGGGGAAACUAUAUGACUUGAGUCUGUUCGGGGAACUUGGAAUUCUCGGUGGAGGGGUGAAAUCCGUAGAUAUCGAGAGGAACACCAUACGCGAAGGCAGAGUUCUAGGACACGACUGACACUCAGGGACGACAGCUCGGGGAGCAAAGUGG